rnacentral:rRNA from 1 species
GUAGGGAAUCUUCCACAAUGGACGAAAGUCUGAUGGAGCAACGCCGCGUGAACGAUGAAGGCUUUCGGGUCGUAAAGUUCUGUUGUAAGGGAAGAACAAGUGCCGCAGGCAAUGGCGGCACCUUGACGGUACCUUGCGAGAAAGCCACGGCUAACUACGUGCCAGCAGCCGCGGUAAUACGUAGGUGGCAAGCGUUGUCCGGAAUUAUUGGGCGUAAAGCGCGCGCAGGCGGCCUCUUAAGUCUGAUGUGAAAGCCCCCGGCUCAACCGGGGAGGGCCAUUGGAAACUGGGAGGCUUGAGUAUAGGAGAGAAGAGUGGAAUUCCACGUGUAGCGGUGAAAUGCGUAGAGAUGUGGAGGAACUCCAGUGGCGAAGGCGACUCUUUGGCCUAUAACUGACGCUGAGGCGCGAAAGCGUGGGGAGCAAACAGGAUUAGAAACCCGGGUAGUCC